UGUAGGAUAGGUGGGAGGCUUUGAAGUGUGGACGCCAGUCUGCAUGGAGCCGACCUUGAAAUACCACCCUUUAAUGUUUGAUGUUCUAACGUGGACCCGUGAUCCGGGUUGCGGACAGUGUCUGGUGGGUAGUUUGACUGGGGCGGUCUCCUCCUAAAGAGUAACGGAGGAGCACGAAGGUUGGCUAAUCCUGGUCGGACA
rnacentral:rRNA from 1 species